GACGAACCGUGCGAACGUUGUUCGGAAUCACUGGGCUUAAAGGGCGCGUAGGCGGGUUCGUAAGUCUGUGGUGAAAGCCUCCAGCUUAACUGGAGAAGUGCCAUGGAUACUGCGCAUCUUGAGGAGGGUAGGGGCGUCUGGAACGGUCGGUGGAGCGGUGAAAUGCGUUGAUAUCGACCGGAACUCCGGUGGCGAAGGCGAGGCGCUGGACCCUUUCUGACGCUGAGGCGCGAAAGCCAGGGGAGCAAACGGG
rnacentral:rRNA from 1 species